rnacentral:rRNA from 1 species
UACGUAGGGACCAAGCGUUGUUCGGAUUUACUGGGCGUAAAGGGCGCGUAGGCGGCAAUUCAAGUCAGCUGUGAAAUCUCCGGGCUUAACUCGGAACGGUCAGCUGAUACUGCUUUGCUAGAGUGCGGAAGGGGCAAUCGGAAUUCUCGGUGUAGCGGUGAAAUGCGUAGAUAUCGAGAGGAACACCUGAGGUGAAGACGGGUUGCUGGGCCGACACUGACGCUGAGGCGCGAAAGCCAGGGUAGCAAAC